rnacentral:rRNA from 1 species
AUGAACGCUGGCGGCGUGCCUAAUACAUGCAAGUCGAGCGAACAGACGAGGAGCUUGCUCCUCUGACGUUAGUGGCGGACGGGUGAGUAACACGUGGAUAACCUACCUAUAAGACUGGGAUAACUUCGGGAAACCGGAGCUAAUACCGGAUAAUAUAUUGAACCGCAUGGUUCAAUAGUGAAAGACGGUUUUGCUGUCACUUAUAGAUGGAUCCGCGCCGCAUUAGCUAGUUGGUAAGGUAACGGCUUACCAAGGCAACGAUGCGUAGCCGACCUGAGAGGGUGAUCGGCCACACUGGAACUGAGACACGGUCCAGACUCCUACGGGAGGCAGCAGUAGGGAAUCUUCCGCAAUGGGCGAAAGCCUGACGGAGCAACGCCGCGUGAGUGAUGAAGGUCUUCGGAUCGUAAAACUCUGUUAUUAGGGAAGAACAAAUGUGUAAGUAACUAUGCACGUCUUGACGGUACCUAAUCAGAAAGCCACGGCUAACUACGUG